rfam:Ictidomys tridecemlineatus contig091591, whole genome shotgun sequence.
CCAGUGGCUUCUUUAGAAGCCACUAUAUUCCUUUUGGAACAAAACU